GUGCUUGCUACGCUGCACAUAUACUAAAAUUGGAUCGAUACAGAGAAGAAUUAGCAUGGGCCCCUGCGAAAGGAUGGACACGCAAAUCCGUGAAGCGUUCCAUAGUUGU
ensembl:snRNA U6 U6 spliceosomal RNA